AGUGAGAACUAUUGAAAGGUUACAAAAAUCAUCCUUAAGUAUUUGAGAAAUACUAAGGACCAGUGGCUUGUUUAUGAAGAAUCUGACUUGAAAGUCAUGGGAUACAUUGAUUCUAAUUUUCAGUCAAAUCGUGAUGGUAGUAAGAGCAUGUCGAGAUACAUAUUUAUCCUAAAUGGUGGAGAGUCUGUUGAAAAAAUUUCAAGUAGCACACUGUGGCCGACUCAGUAUGUGAGGCAGA
rnacentral:lncRNA from 1 species